AAAAAAAAAAAAAAAAAAACUAUAUGGGAAGAUUGUGUUUAUAUGCUUUAAUUUCCAAAUUCUUAAUACUUAAAUAAGCAUCAAAUAGUUAUAAAAUAAAAGAUAAUUUUCAAAUUUAAUUAACAAGAUGAAUCAAAAUAAUUAUCAAUAUAUAACAAAUUUCUAAAUAUAUGAUUGACAAAGAAGGACGUGAUAGAUUGAAGUUUUUUCCUAUAUUUUAUAAAUAAUUUUAAUAGUUUUGUUAUUUUUAAUAAUAUUACUAAAACAAAUCAGAAAUAACUUUUCACAAAUAUAUAUAAAUACAUACGUAGGAAAUACUUUAAUUAUGCAUAGCAAGAGAAAAAACAAAUGAAAGGCAAAUGGGUUAGAAAGAGUUAUGGCAUCCCAAUUUGAGAAUCAAACAAUUUUGGUGAAUAGUAAGUAAACAUUGGGGAGGGGACUGGGGAGAGGAUACGUUAAUGUUUACAUGCUAAGGGAGGAGCCUUGGAGAGGUGAACAGUGCAUUAUGGUGUGGUCUUUAAUGGUUUGUUUUUAUGUCAUAUAGUUGGGGAGAGGAAGAAGAGAAGUGUAAUACAAAAACCUACUUUUUGAAAUAAGAGAGAGAUCCAAAAGGGAAAAGGUAAUAAUAAGACACGAAAAAAAAGCAUGUAAAAAGAGAAGUGAAGUGAGGGAUGAUGACACACUAAAAUUAGACUCAUCAUGAAGGUUUAGUUAAUUUAAUUAUUUAGACAUAGUUUGUAUAUGCGAAUGAAGGUCAAAGUGUGAUGAUAAUUGGAUGCUUUAAUAUUACUGUUUAGGGAGGGAGGAGAGAAGAGAAGAGAAGAGGUAAGGAAUUGUAAUAAGAAGUGUCUAUAUACAAUGUAUAUGAAGAAGAGGUUUUAGGUGAAUAAUGGUGGUAAUGGUGGUGGGUUUAGUGGAUGAAAUGAAAAGUGAUCAUUUAAUUAAGAUCGUUGAUUAUUAUAGAAUCAAGAUAUAUUUUGUUGGUUCAUCAACCACUUUCAUAAUAAUAAUAAUAGUAUUAAUUUAAAUUAUAUAUAUGAUGUUUAAUAGCAAUAAAAGUUCAAAUAAUUUAUAACAAUUUACUGGGUGAGAUUAAUUCCAUUUCCAAAACCCUAAUGUGAAAUUUGCUCAACUAUAACUUUGGCCUUUUUGCCAACCAUCACAUCUUUUGAGAGUUCACAUUUCUUAAACCAAUCCUUUUUUUCUAAGCCUUUCACUCUUCCAAACUCCCAAUUCAUCCCUAAACAAGUCUACAUUCAUUCAUUUUCUUUAUGCUCUCCUUUUUCUCAUUCCCUUUUCCUUUUUGUAGUUAAAGUAGUAGUGGGCACUUCUUUGGCCAGUAAUAAUACCUAAACUUUCAUCAACUUUAACCUAUUUGAUUCAGAGAGAAAAUUAAAAUAAAAUCAAACAAACAAUGGUUUUCUUAAAUAGUGAUCAUAUGGAUUUGUAGGUGUAUCGCUAAAAUAAACAGGCAUGUCCGUUUAACCUGUUUAGUUGGAAAAAAAAAAGUGAAUGUCUAAUGUCAAUUAUAAAUUACGUACAUUAUAAGUUACAUACUAAUUGCUUCAUAUCAAUUAUUAGCAUCACCUUACCUUCGUGAAAUGAUGAGAAAAAAAUAAUUUAAGAAAAUAAGUAUAAUUUUUAUAAAACAAAACUGAUCUAACACUAAAUCGUUUUCAACCAGAGUAUUUGUAUACUAAAUUAGCUAUCUAUUUUAAUUCAAGACAAUUGUACCUAUCUAGUAAUAACCAAUCCAUAAAAUGGCACAAGAUUGAAGAAUAUUUUUUUCAUGAUAUGUUCGCCAUUCUCACAAUGUUCUGGCGUGUAUCCUUGUGAUAAUAAACUUUGGAAAAAGCGUGAUUCUUUUAUACUUCUUUUUUCUUGUAUAUUUUUCGGUAGAAAACAUGUAAUUAUUUUCCUCUUCCUACUAUUAAAAAUAUUAAAAGGUUUAUUUUAAUAGUAAAUAUUGUUUCAUAAUUAAAUUUAGAUAUUAAGGAUAUGAAAUGAUUUGAAUGUUUAAAGUUUAAAUGUUUAUAUUCAUCCUGCUUAAUGUCUCAAACUCCCAACCAUGUUCAAUUCAAUAAUUUGUAUUAUUGAAAAUAAAAAAUAAAAAGUUACUUAAUUAAAUGCAAGAGAUGAAUUAAAUUUAAUAUUACUUAAUUUGUUGUCAUAUUUAAUUAAUAAAAUAAAUAAAUAAGUUUUUAACUAAACAUAAUUAAGCUAAUUACUAAAAAUAAAUAAUUAAUUGGUUAUUUAAUAAUUAAUUAAAAUGAUCAACAAUAUUGACUAGUUAAUACUAAAACAUUAAUUAAUUAAGCUAUAUUUUUACGAUUCAUCUUCAUACAUGUAUGAAAAAUGUCAUUUUAUAUGGGGUUUAAAAUUUAAGUAAAAUUAGGUGAACAAAUAGAAACAUUAAAUAUUUAUCUAAAUUUCCAUGAAAAAACUUAUGAAACAAAUGACUUCAUAAGAGUACAAAGAGAGCCGUAGAGAAAAAAGAAAUCAAAUGUAAUGCAACAAAAUUCAAGAAUAAAGCAAAUAAGAAAUGGUUUUGCAAAGAAUUGAAGGGAUUAAUAAUUGAAUAUAUUGGGUAUUAGUUAGGGAUGGCACCAUGGAGGCACCUCAUAUGUUGGGUUAAAGCAUUUGCAUUUGCAUUUGACAACCCCUCUUGUUUGAUUAUAUUCUUUCCCCUUUGCCCAAAAGUUAGCAUUUAUGUUUCCCAUUAUCCCUUUUCAAAAUUAGUACUCAACCAUUCAAUCUCUUUCGGUUCUACACUUUGGCAUUUUCUAUAUUUUAAUAUACAUAAUAUACAAUUAUUGCAUCAAUCCCAUUCCACAAAAUCAAACUAGAUAUUGUCUAAAAUAGUUGCAUGUGUAUGUUCAGAAGUCACGAGGUUUGAAUCUCUCAAAAUAAAUCUUGCUUGUUUGUAAAAACGAUCGCAUAGGAACAAAUACCAAUUUAUACCCUAACUUAAUUUAAAUUUUGAGAUUGUGUAUUAUAUUUCUAAACUUUAAACUAAUGAUUACAUCUAAUUUGAAUAAUUAACUUUCAUGAAUCUAUCAAUUUACUUGAAAAAGAUUUAAUUUUUUCAAUUAACUAAUAAAUUAGUAAUAGAAAUCAAUUUAGAACCUUUUAAGAUUAUAUUUUAAAAUUUAAAAUCACAACUACAACAAAAUUGAUAUUUGUCUUAAAAAAUAAUAAACAGAGUAAUCAAUCCAAUAUCUUUUACUUCUCAUUUCAUUCUAAUGUGAUAAAAAGUACUUUUUUCGUUCUUUUUCUCUCUCUCUCGUUAGGUUUAUAUUAUAAUUUUCGUUCGAUCGUACUUCGAUUCCUAAACUUUGUAUCUUAUUUUAUUUUGGAUCAUAAACAUUUUAAACGGUUUGUAAGUCUCCAAAUAAAAAAUAAAGAACUUACUUUGGUCUUUUUCAUUAGGAGUUACUUUGAUCUUGUAUAGAUUUAUAUCAUUUUUAAAAGUGAUAAUCUUAUUUGGUGGUUUAGUGAUCAAAAUAUAUGAGUCAUAUUAUCAUUCCGUUAAAGAGUUAAAGAUAUAAAAUUCUAAAAACAAGAAUCAAAAUACGUUGUUUUAAGAUGAGAGACUAUAAUUGACAUUAUUAAAAAUUUAGAAACUAAAGUAAAAUUUAAUAAGAUUUAGAUUGCAAUCCUUUGCGUUAUUAAAUAGUUUUAAAAUAAUGUUAUGUGAUUCCUCAAAUAAUAACAAUAAUGUUGUGUGAUUUGGCCUCUACACUACAACAGUGAUAUCAUUUUUCUCUUUCUUUCUGUUUCCUCUUCUCUUUCCAUACACAAUAUAUGCUUUAGCUCUAUUAAUCUCAACUUUUAUGAGAAUGUGAUUUAUAUAUAACAUUUUUACCCUUCCAUAUAUCAUAGGUAGAUCAUAUUGUGACGACAACGAAACAGAAUAAAUCAUGUUAAUUUUUCUAUUAUUCUUAAGACUCUAGUAUUAGUUAUUGUCUCAAUUUUUAACCACUUUAUUUUUUUUAAUACUCUACCCUACAAAUAAUUGAUAAUACCCUUAAAUUAUAUCUUUAUCAAUUUUUUGUUACCACCGAUGAUAAUUGAUAUACAUCAAUGGUUAAUAACCUAUAAGAAUGUUCAGUCAACUAAACUUUGGUUAAUUAGUUCUUCCAUCUUGCAUUAUUGUGUAUAAAAGGAUAAAAGAUAAUAUUUCUCCAUGGUUUGAAAAUUUUGAGUAUUAGGAUCUAAGUAUAUUAAUGUAUUAGGGAAGUUAAAUGUAUUGUUUAUUAUAUAUAUAUAGGUCCAUUUUAAUCUCUUUAUUUUUUAUUGUUCAUCAUAGACCGAGAAAAAAUGGAGAUAUUGUAGUCAUUGACUUGUGAAGUAAUGGUACAUAAUAUUAUUUGAAAGAAGAAGAAUAGAAGAAAAGAAAAAUCCAAAGCUUUAUCUUUUCAACGUGGAUGCUGGCUUUUUCCAUGAUAUGAUAUGAAUAUGAACAUUGACAUUGACAAUGAUAUAGUGCCUUCUUCUUCUUCUUUUUUCUUUUUUUUUUUUUAAAAAAAUUAUUUUGUAAACGAAUACAAGCAGGGCAUGCACUUUUCAGCAAUUUACUUUUAAAAAGUUCAAUUUCUAUCACCUCAAUAAAUCAAUAAAUACUUAAGUUUGGAAUUUUGAAUUUCAUCCAUCCAACUACUAUAUUGUUCUCUGUCAUUGUUAAUAUUAUUAGACCGAAGAAAAGACCCAAUAAUAAUAAAAUUAAUUACUACAACUGACAUAACUAAAAUCUAGCUACCAAUCUCCAAACACGUACACGAGACAUAUUUGAAUCGAGAUCUCAGUAAAGUCUAAGAAAGAAGCAAUUGGUUGAUCCAUAAUUAGGCUCAAAGUUUUGGGUUGUUUAGAAAAUUUCAGUAGUUUUGAAAAAAGAUUAGGUAAAUUUUGUCAUUUUAAAAAUAAUUAGACAUAAAGUGUGGUUCUUUUUUUGCAUUAUUGGACUACGUCUAUUCGUUUCAUUUUUUUCUUUAAUUUUUAUUUUAACCAUUAUUCCUCUCUUUUCAUUUUUUGGGUUGAAACAGUGAUCAGAUGUGAGACAAACCCUAAUUAUCAACUUGAAUGUACAUGUGGCAAAAAUUAGGCAUGCAAUAAAACCAUUCUUCUAAUCCAACAAAAUUAGCCAUGCAGUCUUCUAAUCUGAACUAAAGAAAGAAGGAAAAAGAAUUAACUGAAAUACUCAAAGAAAGAAAACAAGAAACAGAUGUUGAAGAAAGCGAGACUGUUUGAAAGAAGCUAGAGAAGAAACACUAACAAUUUUCUUAGUAUGAAUUACAAAACUUUGACUCUCUUCCACACUUCAUUUUUUAAUCUAACAUUCUUGUGUUGCAAUUGCCACUUUAUUGCUCUAUCACUAUGGUUGUCAAUUCUAGUUCUUCUCUGCCAUUGCCAGUUAUGUGUUAAUCUUGUCACUGUCCAUCUCUCUCCUCUACAACCACUUUCAUUAGAAUUUGAAUAUUUAUAGAGCGUAUGAUCAUAUGAUAUUAUAUAUUUAUAAAGUCCAUGUACAAAUUGAAUAAUUGCAUCAAUUUUCAUAUAUUACAUUAAUUUGUUUAUGAUCUUUUUAUUAUGAUCAAUUUAGAAGUGAAUAGAAUUAUUGAUGGAGGGAUAAGGGUGUACUUGGAAUUCAUUUCAAGCUAAAAAGAGGAUAAAACCGACAAAAAAAAAUGUUUUCUAAAGAUAGCAGUUUUUUAAUAUUGUGUAGAUAAAUAUAAAUUUGGAUUCCAAAUUAAUUCAAUCCAUUCAAUUUGAAUUCCCAUCACGUUGACUCAACACAACACUUGAUUACUCCACUGUUCAUAACUUUUCUCUUCUUUUUCUAUUUUUAUCUUUUUACUCAGAUUGUAUUAAUUUAGAAGUUUCGUCCCAGCAUAGAUGAGAAGGAAUGAAAAUAAACUUAAUUUUCCAAAUUAAAAUGAUUAUGAAAUUUAAAUGAAGGCUUGGUCUCAUGUAUUUAUUUAUCUAUUUGUAAUAAUAAAGCCAAAUACACUUUUAUUAUUAUGCAAGGAGAAUUUUGAUUGAAACACUACUAAUUUUCAACUUUAACUUUAAUUUGGGUGAGGCAUUUAUUUAUAGGAUUUUAGGGGAAAAUCAUGAGGUAAACACUACUCCACCUUAAAAUCAAUUAUUAAUUUACUUCAAUUUUAUUUUUAUUUUUUUGGCAAAGAAAACUAAUGAAUCAUUUGAAAAAAAAAAUGUGUAAAAUGUGUAGAUUGAAGUGAUGAUAUGUAACUAUAGAAUAUGCAAUGUGAUUGUAACAUGGAAACUUAGGUAAGUUGAAAUUGAAUAUUAAUGGGAAAGAAAAAGAGUUUAGGAAGUUGUAUUUCAAAGAUCAUAAGUGGUUAAAGUAAAAGAAAUAUAAUAAUGAGAAAGUGGCAUCUCCUAAUUGAUAUAAAAUUUUUGAAUGGUUUAUAUAUAUUAUGCUUCCAUUUUAAAAUCAAACACUCCCCUGCGUCAACCCCAAGCUUUUCUUCAUGCAAUUAAUAAACCCCCUUGCCUGAGCUGUGUCACUGACACACACACCUCCCUUAGUUCCCCCAAACACUUCAACACACAUGUCGAUCGCUAACGCCAACACGUCUCCGACUAUGUCCGGCGUCUCAACGACGGUCGACAACACCAGCACCCCUGCAGACAGGGCUCGGUGGGUGGCAAACCCACCAGACCCACCAGGGAUAUGUCGAGACCUCAUCGACUGGCUUCGCCAAACCAUGUUUCCCGAUCCCACCAAGCUUUUCCCACUCAAGAACAAGACUGGAACUGCGGUCCUGGGAAGGGUCUUGAAGGGUGUUUUCCCUAUCCUCUGUUGGGGGCAGAGCUAUAAUCUUGGAAAGUUUAAAAAUGAUGUCUUGGCUGGUUUGACACUUGCUAGCCUCUGCAUUCCUCAGGUAAAUUAAAUUAUGUUAUUAGAAAAUGAUGAUUAAAGUUAGUUAAUUAAUUGUGAUGAUUAUAUACGCAGAGUAUUGGUUACGCAAAUCUGGCUAAGCUUGAUCCUCAAUAUGGGCUUUGUAAGUGUUGUAAAUUAAGAACUAAUUAGAUGAAAGUAGUUUUCAUUUGGGAUUAAUUAAGAAAAAGAACGUUUUAAUUCUGUGGGGGCAGAUACGAGCAUUGUGCCGCCGUUGGUUUAUGCAAUAUUGGGAAGUUCGAGGGAAAUAGCGAUCGGUCCGGUCGCUAUAAUAUCUAUGCUUUUGCCGACGAUGAUUCAGAAAAUUCAAGAUCCCGCCGCCGAUCCUUUUGCCUAUAGAAACCUUGUCUUCACCACCACUUUCUUCGCCGGAAUCUUUCAAGCCGCCUUUGGACUUUUCCGGUCUCUAAUUUCUUCUUCAGUUUCUUUUUCUUUUCUUUUCUUUUUUUUUUUGUCGAAAUUAAAAGUAAUAAUUUGUAUGGUAGUAAUUAAUGGGAUUGGAAUAAUUAUAUAAAAAACAUUUCAGGUUGGGAUUUAUGGUGGAUUUUCUAUCACAAGCUGCCAUAGUUGGGUUCAUGGGUGGAGCUGCCAUUGUAAUUGGACUUCAACAACUCAAAGGAUUGCUUGGAAUCACUCACUUCACUAAUAAAACUGAUAUCAUCUCUGUUAUGGAAGCUGUUUUCGCAUCAUUCCAUCAUCUUAAUAAUGAUGUAAAUUAUUUUUUUAUAUAAUUCAUACUCAAAACUUCAAUCUCAUUUUAAUUUAAUUCCUUCCCAAAACAAAAUUAAUAUUUAUUUUUUAAUAUCUGAUCAUGCGGUGAUGAUCUCUUAAAUUUUUCAGCAAUGGAAUCCCUUGAACUUCAUCAUUGGCUCUUCAUUCCUUUCCUUCAUCCUCAUCACCAAAUUAUUGGUAAGUUUAUUAGCUCAAAUCUUAAUGGUGGACUCUUUGUUAGUUUAGGCGUUCUUCUUUUACACUAUUUUGUCUAAGGACAAUUAUUAGUCGCAGUUGCACCUUUACCACCUUCGUGUACCAUAGUAAAUGGAAACUGUCUAUAAUAAUUAUCUUUUGGUACACUAAAAACUAUUUUGUUCAAAAUAUGUGCUACAGUUAUUUUAAAACUUUUGCUAUUUUAUAUUUCUCAUUCUCUUUUUACUCUUUCCUAUAAUAUUUAGUAUUUUAUUUUUCAAAUUAAAAUAGUUUUCACUUCAAUACAUACUAUUAUGAUUCAAAUCAAAAUAAUUUACAUUUCAAACUCAAACUAUUAUAAUCAACUUCUUACUUCAAUAAUUUACAUUUCAAACUCAAACUAUUAUAAUCAACUUCUUACUCCAAAAGUUUUUUUGGAUGAAAUGCAUUUAAUAAAUGCAACCAAAUUUUUUAUAAAAAAGAGAGAAGAGAAAAGAAAAAAUCUUAAAAAUUAAAGUUAAUUGAAUAAUGCAUAACUAAAUUUAAAUUUGAUAGUGAAUGAAUCUAAAUUUUCAAAUAUGUCUAAGUAGAUGCAUAAAAUUCAUAUUCAAUAUAAAAAAAAAAAAACUUAAAAGGAUAAGAGAGAUUUUGAUAAAUUUUGUUAGGUUUCUUUCUUUCUAAUAGGCUUAAAAUAGUUUAAAACUUAUAUUUUGUAAAUAGUUUUUUUUUUUAUCUACAAGAAAUUUCCAAAGAUUAACUAGUAAGAUUAAUUAAAUUUGAUUUCUUUUAUAAUGCAUUCUAAAUUUUCAAUAUCCAGUUGGUCCGUAAUCAAUAAUAAUAAUAUAAAAUUUAGAGACAAAACUUAUUAAUCAAAGAAGUUCAAAUUAAAUACUACAUUAUAAACAAAUCUCAAUACUAAAUUUAUAAUUUAAACUGUGUUUUUUUCAUUUGUUAUUUGUUAAAAAACAAUAAUAAUUUUUUAAAAAAGAAGAAAAAAAACUAUUUGUCCAUUUUGUUUCCUUUAGUUUUGAAGUGGAUAAAUGAAUUUUCUUUUGUUUUUUAAUUUUGAUUUUGAAUUGGUUGGGUUUUUGCUGUCGUAAAGCUACAAAGAAAAAGAAAAAGUUAUUGGCAUCCACAAUAAGAAAAAAAAGUAAAUGAUGAAUUGAUGAAAUGAACCUACCCAUUUUCAUGGCAAAAUUCUUAGAUCCUAUUUUCACCAAUAAUUUUCUCUUAUUACUUUUCACUUUUUUAGUUUAAUAAUACUUUAUUCAUUAUUGUCAACACUUACAAUAUCUAAAAAAAAGUUUCAAUUUAGUUUUAGUUUUAGUUGUAAUUAUUGUAAUCCCUAUAGUUUUAAAGUUAUGCAAUAUUUGUGUCUCUAUGGUUACUAUCAUAAUCCAAAGAUUUUUAAAUUAUAACAUUUAAAUCGAACCUAAAGCUGAAAUUAUAAAUUAAAACAUUUUAAGAAUUAAGAAAUCUCGUAACUCUAAAAGAGAGUUCGACAAAAUAAGAGUUUGAGAGGGAACUAAACUUUCUUCUUCUACUACUUCUUCCCUCUCUUAACUCUUAUACUCUCUUCUAUAAUCCAUAUAUAAUGUUGAAACUAAACUUUGUAAUUUGCAGGGGAAGAAGUACAAGAAAGUAUUCUGGUUACCAGCCAUGGCUCCAUUGGUGUCCGUAAUCCUAUCAACACUUUUGGUGUUCCUCACAAGAGCCGAUGAACAUGGCGUCAAGAUCGUCAAACGAGUCCCCCCUGGCCUUAACCCAAUCUCCACUCAAAACAUCCAAAUCCACACCCCUCAUAUCUCCCAAAUCCUCAAUGCUGCCCUCAUCGUCGCCGUCGUAGCUCUCACUGUACGUUCCAUCCUUUAAUAACCAUAUAUAUAUUUCUUUGUAAGAUAUAUAAUAUGUUUUAAUUUAAGAGUGAUUUGGAAUCACUUUUAACAUUUCAGGAGGCGAUUGCUGUGGGGAGAUCAUUGGCAUCCAUGAAAGGAUACAACAUUGAUGGGAACAAAGAAAUGGUUGCGUUAGGCUUCAUGAACCUAGCUGGAUCUCUUACUUCUUGCUAUACAGCAACAGGUUCUCUGUCACGUUCAGCCGUUAAUUUCAGUGCCGGUUGCGAGACGCCAGUUUCAAAUGUAGUGAUGGCGGUGACGGUGAUGAUAUCAUUGAAGAUGUUUACCAAGCUCCUCUACUUCACUCCCAACGCCAUCUUGGCUUCCAUUAUUCUCUCAGCUCUUCCUGGCCUCGUUGACAUUCACCAAGCUUACAAUAUAUGGAAGAUCGACAAGCUUGACUUCUUGGCCUGUCUCGCAGCUUUUUUUGGAGUUCUCUUUCUAUCUGUUGAAUUCGGCCUCCUCCUUUCGGUAACCUAUCUCUCUAUUUCUAAGUUUAGAAAUAUUACACAUUCAUUCAUUUAAGUUUUGAGUUCUAUAUCACAACAUAUAAAUUGUUGUCGUGUUGCAUGGGAGGCAUUCAGGUUUGAUUUGUGAGUUCUAUAUUUGUGUUCAACUAUUUUUUAAACAGAAAAGACAUACUUUUGGACUAUGCUUCUAAAAUUAAAGCCAAUUAGUGAUGCAUGUGAUAUUUCUUUUUUUUAUUAGUUUAGCUAAUUAAAGUUGUAUGUGCAGUUGGUGAUAUCAUUUGCAAAGAUAAUAGUAACCUCAAUCAAACCUGGGACAGAGAUAUUGGGUAAAAUCCCUGGAACCGAUACCUUUUGUGAUAUUCAUCAAUAUCCAAUGGCUCUCAACACUCCUGGAGUCCUCAUCGUUCGUGUUAAAUCUGGCUUACUUUGCUUUGCAAAUGCCAAUUUCGUAAAGGACAGGUAACAUCCCACAAUGUAGCAUUGAUAUAGUUUUACACCAUCGUCAAACUGAACUUUUAUCUAGUCAGACACAGUAGUAUGUUCAUGUUUGAAUUCACCUCCAACGAACGAUAUUUUGUUGUCUACUAAUUAACAAUAUGUUAAUGGUUAGUUAACUACAUUGUGUUGGUCUUAUUGAAAUAUAGAUGAUCCUUUGUGAACUAAUUCACGUUUAAUAUUUGUGUUUUUGAUUUAGGAUUUUGAGGUUCAUCAGCAGCCAAGAAGCAUCAGGAAAGGGAAUUACUCAAUUCCUAGUCAUUGAUCUCUCCAGUUAGUUCAAUUUCUAUUUCUCUCUUUUUUAUUAUAAGAUAUGGACACAAUAUAUAUUUUCAUAUGUUUACUUACAUAUACGUGGUUAAUUAUUUUCUUCUCUCUAUGUAGAUUUAAUGAACAUUGACACUUCAGGAAUUGCUUCUCUUGAAGAGCUGCAUAAAAAUUUGGCAACUAGUGGAAUAGAGGUGACCAUUAUAUUCUCUGUUUCUUAAAAAGAAAAAGAAAAGAAAAACCCAACUUUUGAUCUAGUCCUUUUAUCUUAACUCAAUAAAUCAAUUUAAACUUCAAACCUGGAUAUAACACCCAAUUAAAUUAAGAUAAAUGAUAAAAAUUUCCUAAAAUUUUGGAAUGUUACACCUUAUAAUUACAAACUUAUGGACAAUAGAUAAAAGUAAACUAAAAAAUCCUCCUUUACAUUUUCUUAGUGCUAAGGAAUUAGAUCUUUAAUUGAAGAAAAAUCAUGUCAAUACUAUCAUUGAGUCAAACCCAUUAUGUGGCAUUGAAUAAUAUAUAUAAUGCAUUUUGGAUCUAGGAGUUGAUGAAAAAAUAUAAUACCAUGAUAUAAGAGAUUAAAUUGAAAAAUGAACUUUAAUUAACACAAUUAAGGGUUGGUUUUCUUCCUCAAAUUCAGAUAUGGUGUGUGUGUAUAUAUAGAGAAGCAAUCAAAACAAUAUUAAAAAAGACAAUUUAAAGUAAUUUUGGUUUAGUAUUAUAUUUAUUGUUACUAACUUAAAUUUGUUGAGUUAAUUUGCCAUAUUGUUGUACCACAGAUGGCCAUAGCAAAUCCAAAAUGGCAAGUGAUUCACAAGCUAAAGGUAUCGAAUUUUGUUGCCAAACUCAAAGGGAGAGUUUUCUUAAGUGUUGGGGAAGCUGUGGAUGCAUGCCUUUCAGCUAAAAUGGGAGCUGCCAUCUAAACCACAAACCAAAAUCAUCAAAGUAUAAAUGAAUUUAAUUAAAACAAAUAAUGAAACUUUUCUUAAAUAUUACUACCAAAUUAUCAAAAUGUAAUAAAUAAAUUAUGCAAUUUUACCAAAUGCUACUUCCUAUAUACCUAUAGCUAUAUGUUUUGUUGUCUUUCUUUCUUUUAAUGUGUGGAUUAUAAUUGGUUUGAUCAUAUGUUUGUGUUAUAUAUUUGCUCUCUGUUGGACCAAACUGAUCAAAUAAAUUAGUGGUUCUCACUUAUUGAACCCUACUAUGUUGAUCUUUUCCUUUCGUAUUGUACAAUAUAACGAUGUGUUGUAAAAUAUGUAUAACAAUAAUUACUAUGAGAGGAAAAAAAAACCCAUGUAAUUUAGUUUGAUGAUCUGCCUUUUUUAUUUUUACUUGGUAUUGCUUAUUUACAUUUGAUCUCUGUUUAAAGUUUACCCAAAUUUACUUAUUAAUUGAUGAACCAAUAAAACAAAAAGUUAAUAUAUAUAUGAAGUUCAUAAUUGGAAUUAUCGAGGUUGUCAAGGUGUAUUUUCUCCUAAAUCAUGAAACUAUAUUAGGUAUGAUGAUUUUUUGGAAUUUGUUUGAAAGGUCCAACUCUUUCAACAACGAAGUUGAUAACUUUGGAGAUUUUUUGUUCAAACAAGCAUUGUCUUAGGCUCCUCUUUUUGUCCACAAAAUCAUAAUAUGUUAUUGCUCAUAUUAUGGCGUUGUUGGGUGUCCUAGGCUAGGUGGAAGAACCCCUUAUACAUUGGACUCUAAUGAAUUGAAAUCUUUAGUUCCCUUUGGUCUUAUUUGUACUGUUCAUAUACAUUAUUAUAGAUAUUUGUCGUAUAUUUUUAGUUCAACAAUUACAAAGUGUUGAUGUUUGAGCUAUCAACCUUUUGAUAUGUGAUAAUAUAAUUAGUAUUUUUAUCUACUUAGGUACAUUCGAAUUCGAAUGGACGAAAGUUUAAAAUAAAACGUUAAAAUAUACCUUAUUCAAUAGACAUAAUAUGACUAUCUUCUACCAUGAAUUUGAUUAGUUCCCUCUAGUUAAUAAUUUAAAAAAAAAAAAUUCGAUACACUUAAUUAUUAUCCUUAAAAUUACUCCUCAUUGCUAUUACUUUAGUUUUCUUUAAUCGAUGUUGAACGGAGGCAAAUCGUCAUCAUCGUAAUUGGCACUUCCAUCAAACGGCGUAGGACUGCUUUCAAAUUAUUUAUUAUAUAUAUUCGUUAUAAUGUUUGUUAAAGUUAAACAGAGAGGAGAUUAAUCUAUACUUCAGAAGUUGGAGGUACUUGGCAAUAUAUGUUUAGGAUUGUUAUGAAAUAAGAAGAAUGUCAAAAUAUUAAACGAGAAAUGACGUUCAUUUUCUCCUAUGGAACAAUAUUCAAAGUUGAAGGACGGAAGAUUGAAACAAAUUGUAAAUAUGGGUAAAAUUGCAAUAUUUUGAUGCUUAUAAACUAAAUUAAAACCAAAAUCUAAGCUUAAAAAUGAUGAACUAAUAGAAGGCAGAGACAAAAAGGUAUUUUUCUCUAAUUAAUAUUAAAGAUAUUGACUCCAUAUCAAAGUCGAACCAUACUCCAAUUUACGAAUGUAUUAUUGAUGAAUGUUUUAAUCCUCAAAUCAUAUUAGAUAUAUAAAUCAGUUCAACAAAAUUUAUUUUUAAUUAAAGGAAAAUAUAGUUCUAACUCAUAUAUAUUUGUGGUGCGAGAAUUCCUUUGCUACCUAAUCCUUUCAUUUUUAGGUCUAUUUUUCCUUCAACUAUAAUUAUUAGUCAAUAAUAUAGUUCAAUUAAUUUAAAUUACAAUCUAAGGAGAAUUGUUGCAACACUCACUAAUGUUGAGUGAAAAAAACAAACCACUAGAAAAUUUUAAGAUAGCACUAACCAUACAACGACUAUGAAGAUCGAUCUGGUAAAAGAAUUCAAUUCAAAAUUUAUCUGCAGAUAUGAUCAAUAGUUAUGCAGAGUUAUCACAAUCUUUGUAAUAACAAAAGGCCAUACUAGAGAUUUGUAUGUUUUAUGUGAGUUUUCGAAGGAGCAAAAACAUGUUCUGAUCCACCCUGAAUUUGGCACAGUGGAUGGGAUCUCCCUUCAACAGCAUUUGGAGUCCUCCAAAAGAUGCAUAAACCUCCCUGCAUAUACAAUCAUUCCAACCAAACAACAUCAGAGCCAACGAUUUACGAGACAUGUGAAACAAUUUAUUAAUUGAGUUGCAAACGCCUCAUACGACUCAAUUAUUAGUACUCAUGCUAGAAAGAGUAAAAAGGGUAUAAUCCCCAAAGCAAUUGGUUAGUGGAGUCAUGGACAUGGUACACGGUCUAAUUGUAGGGAAGGAGAGGUUAACUGCCCUCUCCAAUUGGUUAGGGUACUUGUUUUAUUCAUAGAAGAUUUGACAAGAAAAUGACAGAUUUGAACUGUUGCAGAAAAUCGUGAGAAUGUUAGGUCACUUACACUUUCAAGUCUGAACCUGAGCCUUCAUCUGAAAGUUUGUAUGUUUUACCAUGCAUGAUGUAUUCAAACUUAUCAGCUAAAGAUUUCUUCCCUUCCUGCCAAAAAUUAAGUUCAUUUGAAGGAUAUUACCACUAAAAUUUCAAAUGUGAUGUUUACAAUUACGAUCAUGGAAACUGAAUUAAACCAGGUUUGUCAAAGUUUCUCUUGUUAACUUUAUGUUAAAAGUGUAUCUACGUUUCUAAUGCUAUCCAACAUCUACAAAAUUUUGAUUAUACUUUUGUUUCUAUAGUCUAUACGAAGUUUCUUUAAAAAAAAGUCUUUUUAAGUACAACUUGGGGUGGGGAAUUUGAACACGAACAUCUUGUCCUCGGGAACAUACAAAUGCCAACUACGCUAUGCUUGUGUUGGCAAUUUAUACAAAGUUACGAACCUUUAAAAUAAAAUUAAAUAAAUUAACAAGUGCAUAUUUUCUUCAUAAGAAAUAAAUGUAAUGAAAGAGCAAAAGAAGCAGAUAAAAAUAAAUGACAGUACAGCAUAACAUAGAAGCAAAGAGAACAAAAUUAAAAGAACAAUACAGUUUUUUUCAAAAAGAAGUGGAACAAGCUCUCUGCACGCCUACAGAGAGGCAUUGAAAUGCAACUCACUCUAAACCACCUCUCAUGACUUUUCUAUAUCUCUAAAGAUUCUCCAAUUUCUUUUGAGCCAUAGAUGCAACAAGGUAGAUUAAAACAAGGGCCUCCUCCGAAAUAUUGGUUCAAGAAAUUCAAAAACUUGAAGGACUCUAUUGAGAUUAAUAAGAUGCUCCUCAGUGUCUUAAGGGAAGUUGGAACACCAAGCGCAUAUUCAAGACUUAACAAAUCUAUGUCAUGCAUCACAAGCCUUAGACACAAGUCAUAAGGAGCCUAAAUAAGUCACAUUCCUUUCCUCACAUUUGUUUUCAAGAGACAUGGCUAGCACAAGCACGGCCUUGACAGAACGAAACCAAUGGAUACUUGCCCUGCAAUUUGCAGACCCUUUUUUCUAGUUUUUUUUAGACUCCUUGAUAAGAUCCUUCUCCAAAUGUUCAGUCGCAGAGAUACCUUGAGGAGUUAUUAAUGAUAUCUUUAGUAAUUCCUAUAAAAUAUUAUUAUAUAUCUACCAUUUCUACUCAUGGAAAAAUUGAUAUGGACGCAGAUGCCAACAGUUUUUUUUUUUACCUGUCUGGUCUUUUAAACAAUGCAAACAGAAAAGGAACAGCCCGAAUCCUCCAUCAACAAAGUUAAAUAAAACAUUGGAGGGAUUACCUGAUCUUUAUAGCUGGUAACAGGAGAUCCAUCAUAGUUCAACGUGGGAGACAAGACCAUCAGAAGCUUCUCACCUUCAUCAAUAGGAUAUAUCUCUGUAUUUACAUCCAGCAGCAUAUGCAUCGAAAGCUUCUCACUCCGUGCUUCAAUUCUAGAAACUAGAACAACAAUUUUAUGCAAUCAAUGUGCAUCCUGUAAAAUCCUUCACGCUAAAAUCAAUACAGUGAAGAAGUUUCAAGUCCACAAAGGGGGCUAUUUUAUAGCAUGGGCAUCUCAAAACCAAUUGGCAAUGAGAGUAGCUCGUCUAUUGAGAGAGCAGCGUCUUGUAACAAGUGAGUUUUGUGAUUCCCAACAUCUCAACGGAGGCUCAAAAGUUCAUAAACCAGAAACUAAGAAUUAAAAGAAUGAGAGAGCAAUAAGAAGCUUGAGGGAAGUACCUUUAUCAUACUUUUUACCAUCUGGGUUGACACACUUGACCUUGAAAAUAUCAUUAAAUAGAAGCCCCGCCAUGUUUAUGGAGAAUUUAUUUCUCAGAAUGCAAAUCUGAGUUGGUAGACAACAUAAAAAAAUAUUAGAUAUGGGAAGAAAGGCAGGAAAAAAAAGCAAAAACUAAAAUUUACAGAUGAUCAAAGGCUCAAUUGAGAGUGAUACAUAGAUAGAGAUUUGGCGCAAAGGCGCAAAGGCGCAAAGACGGAGGUGGAACAAGAGUGAGAGGAAUAUGAAAGGGUUUAGGGUUUUAUUUUAGGGGUACACUUUUUCCUUAUUUUUCUAUUAACAAAUAUGAAUUUAACAUAUUCGAAGCUUAAAAUUCAAUGGCAUGACAAAGACAAACCUUACUCCAUCGCCGUUUAUAUACUUAUACAUAUGUAUUAAAAGUAAAAUUGUUUACUAUUAAUAUUUUUUUAAGAAAAAGUAAGUUGGGAGUUCAUAGUUUAUAUUUACAAGGUAGGAAGAAUUGAAGCUUGAACAAAGAAAGCCUUUGUUAGUAUAAUUACAACACCCACAGCAUGUUUUUGUGGUUUUUAGAAAUUGGUCAUUCUAUCUUAACUCCAAAAUUUUAACCUUUCGAAUUGUAAAAACUAAUCAUAAACUAUGGAUAAUUACAAUUAUGCAAAUGAAUUUGACGACCAAAACCAGAAGAGAUAAUGCAGAAAAUAAGGACAAACAAUAAUAUCAAGUAAAGGGGAAGAAAAUAGUCAGGGAAACUUUCCUACUUUCUGAGAGCUCUUCUUCCUUUAGUAGCUUCUUAGGACUCUUCCUCUUAACACUACCCUUGAGAAGAUUGAAGGAAUUUCGGAAAGGGGCGCGGCGACGGAGCGUGUGGGCGACUGGGUGAUUGAAGGAAUUUCGGUAAAAAGGUUCAGGGUUUAGGUUUAUAUUGGCUUGGGCCAACCCUACACUUAUUUAACCGACCCAGGUCAUGUUAUUAUUAUUCCAAUGAUUUUUCUGAACAGGUCUAGAAGUAAAGGAGAACCCAACAUCACCGAAUCCCACUUCACUAAACUGCCUCAGAAUGAGCCAUAACAAGACUAGACGCUUCAAAAAUCAUCAUCCUCGUCGCGGACAAUCUACUCGGGGCCAUAAAUUUAUUGGGUAUUUACAUAUACUCUUACCCUUUUCCUCUGAUUCGUCUUUUCAUUAUAUCGAUCAUUUGUUUUGUUUAUUUCUUUUUUUUCAGAGAGGAUGAGUGUUUGCCGGUCGACCCAGGUGCCUACUUUGUCUCACUGAAGUUUGCUUCUACAUGGGUGAUUUUGUUCUGUUUAAAGAAGCCCUUUUAUAGUGGAGAGACUUUGGAUUUAGGUUCCUGACGAGUUCCUUUUUGUUGCAGCCAAUGAAGAGGAGCCAACGCGUCCAAAUAUUCACCUUGCCAUGUGGGUGUGUGCUUAACAUUUUUUUCUUCGCUUCGCGUUUUUGUUGUUGAAUUCUGAAUUGUGUCAUCCUUAAACUUGUUACUGUUGUGCUGUUGUUACAAAUGGGAAUGAAAGCUUGAGCUUACAAAGUUGUAAGUAAAUUGAAAUUGAUGGUGUUUUGUGGUUGAUUCAGGAUUUUGGGCAGUGUGAUGCAAAAAGGUGUACAGGACGCAAGCUUGCACGAUUUGGCUUGUUAAAAGAACGUACCUGAUUCUCUCCUUUUCUUUUGUUUUCAUAUUUUUUACUAUGUUGCUUAUUUUCGCAGUGAUUGGUUCGUGUAGGCAUAUAAAGAAACCAUUUUAGUUCUCUAACAGGGUUAAUUAGUUUGUAUGUUUGCAUUCCCUCUCCACUUCGUUAGUUAUUGUACGAAAUGUAUUGUUGGAUGUAUUGACUUAGUUCUAUACGAUCUUGCUGGGAAUUUUGAAGAUGCAUUCACAUAUGAUGAUUGGUAUCAAUAUGAAUUCGAUGCUUAGGGAACAGGAAUGGAAGUCUAUAGAAAAAUAGGUUAUAUUGUGUUUAGAUGCUGGAGAAAAUCUAAUGGAUGGUUUUGCUUCCCAAGUGGAGAAUGUCCAAAACGAGGAACUUUCCAAAUGUGUAAUCCUAAUUUCUUAGUUUGGUCAUACAAUGCUUUAUAAAAAGUACAACUUAGAUGACAGAAUCCUUGAAACUCUUGACAUUCAUGCCUUUCAAUUGUAAACCAACAAAUUGGGUUUAAAUUGUAGAAGUUGAAAAAACAGGGACCAAAUAGAAAUAGUAAAAACUAAGGAACAAAAAGUACAGUUUUGUUUAAUUAUUUUUAAGUUGAUUCAUUAAAUGAGGCAAGAUGCUUUCAUAUUUGUAUGAUUAAUCGGAUUCAUGCUUGUUUAAGGUUUUAGUUAGAUGGCAUUGUGUAUAAAAUACUAUUAACGGAUUUCUUUCUACAUUGAAUAAAGAAUGAAUCUAACUUCUCUUGAGUUCAUGCAGGAUUUGCGUGUUAACAGUGGGUUUGGAGGCAUUGUCUUAAGGUACUGAACGAUUAUGCUUCCUUGUGUUCUAGUUUAGUUGUAACUGAAUGUUAGUGUAUGAUAAUACAAUAACAAACUAGUUGUCACAUCACAUCUCUAACUAAAUAACGUCUAAAGGCAUCUAACUUUCAGCUGUGAGAAUCAACACUAUGCUCCACUUUUUUCAUCAAUAAAGCAUGAAGAAGCUGCUCAAAUUCAGAAUUUCAACCUCUUUCGUCUUUCCAAAAGGCUAAUGAAUGAAACUCCCAUGACAAAAUCACACAAUCCCAAUGAAAAAAACUGACCCAUUUGGUAAAGAAGCAAACCUUUUGUGGUUCAACCGGUAGGAAAAUUGAUGAUUAGGCCAUCUUGAAAUACUGAAAUAUUGAAGACUCCACAAAUGCAUCAAAGGCCUUCACAAUAACUAUGAAUUGACAUAGGAUCCGGCCAUAGAAUCUUCUUUUAUAUAAUGAGAAGGAUUGUAUUAGAUAUCCAUCAAGAACACUCUAUGAUGUUGCUUUGAAGAAAAACCCAUUUGAGUGUUUCUUUAACUGACACCUUAUUUUCAACCCACAUGAACAAGAUGCCACCAGUUUUUUAAGAGAAUCCUCAAAGGACCAGCUACAACUUUAAAGCUUCAAAAUAAUUUUUACUCCAGGUGAAACUGCCACAACCAUCCGGAUGAUGAGAUGGAGGAAAUUUUUUCAUAACUGAAAAGAAGUAACAAACAACAAUCACUAAUGAUAAUUGAGAAGAAGCAACCCCUGAACUUAAGCCAAAACUUGCAAUUAAGGAGGAGAAUUUAGAUGGGAUUAUAGAUAGAUCAACCAAGGAAAACUUACUUUUAGGAGUCUGAAUAGAUUUUCUUUCCAUUGGAUUUUGGAAUAAACUUGCUAUUACUUCACUAAAAUUAUCGUCAAUUGAGAAUUCUUCUGAAUUAGAAUUUGUAACCGACUUUUGUAGCCAAAUGGUUGUGGCGGUUUCACCUAGAGUGAAAAAGAAGCGCCCUUUGAUAGACAACCGAAAGGGUAUAUUUUUCAUCCCUAAAUGGGUGGCCCAGAGAGAAGCCCCCUUUGAUAGACAACCUAAGGGUAUAUUUUUCAUUUGUAAAGGAGUGGCCCAGAUACAUACAAACCAGAAAGUCAUGGACAAGCUGGGAGACCAUGGACCAUAUAACGGCUUCCAUCACAAAAGCCUAGUAAUUAUAUGAAAAAAGAGGGAAAAUGUAAAGACAUUAUGAGAUUCUGAUCUUUUACAAAGGAGACUGGCUAGAGUAGAGCUAUUCGUUAUUGUGGUCUAUGAGCAAGCUAAGAUUUUGAUUUUAGCUCUUGCUAUUCUGUUACAACCUUUGCCCAUUUCAUAAUGUAUUUUGGGGAACACUUCUUUAAUAAUGAAGAAACCAAUCUUUAUUGGGAUAUAGUGAGGGUUCGACUCGUCACCUAGUGGUGUAAUUUAUUGAAGGGUGGGAACGGUGCAAGCUAAGUGCAGUAUGUUCUAACUUGUAACUUGUAAGUAAAGACUGCACGUAAGAGUUAUUUCUUCUGGGUUAAGUUGGGUGUUUGAGAGAGGAGAGUUUUCAAAUUUUCCGAAAACCGUGUACAUCUCUUUACUCUAUUGUCAAUAACUGAUUGUAGUAAAUUGAAGGAUUAGAAACAUGGCUAUUACUUUUCAUUUGGCCGUUUUUGCAUUAGUUGUACUUUAUCAAUCUAGUAGUAUGUGCUUCUCCCUAUGGUUGGCCAUGAUCUAUCAUAUUGCUAACUAUCCUCUUACAAGAACAUGCUUUCGUAAUUUUUUUUGUGAUCUGAUGAAAGGAGAUGAAUGGUAGUGAUUAAAUUCAUACUCAAAGGCAUAUAAACAUUUUGUUGGUUCCUAUAUUGAACCUUUUCAAUCUUAAAAUUUUGGCAGUCCAGUGGGGGUGAAUUGUGUCUCCAAAGAAGAUCAUAGUCUUCUUAAACAAAAAAGGAUUAGCAGUUGUGGAUUGCUCAUGGGCACGGUUGGGUGAUGUUCCAUUUGUGAAAUUGCGAUGUGCUGCUCCUCGCCUAUGUAAGAGAUUUACAUCUUGAAUAUGAAAGUCUUGUGUAGUUCUUAACCUUGCUGUCAUUUGAUUGUUAGUAAUUUCCAAACUGCCAUUGAGAUUUCACUAAAUUUGAUGAAGUGCAUUUUCCUGACUAGACUCUAUUUGGUUGGCUUUGGUAAUUACUAGAUCAUGAUUUUGUUCUCUUGGUUCUGAUUUUCACAUCCUGCAAAUUGUUUAUGCAAAUAUUUGUAGUACCUUGGCUAGUAGCAGCAAACCCAGUAAACUAUGGUCGACCAUGUGAGUUAUCUUGCGUGGAAGCAUUAGCCGCCGCUCUAAUCAUAUGGUAACGCACCUUUAUCUCAUCUUUUCUCUUGUUUGCAACUUUGUUCUAAAUUCUGCUGAGAUUCAUGUCAAUUGCUAAUCCUCAUGUCAUCUUGUAUCCUUUUGUCAUAAAUUUGGUGCAAUUAGCUUACUUCUGAUAAUUCAGGGAAAAUGAUCUAAGAUUUAUAAGGUGUUGUACUUCUUUCAUUGGAAGUGAGAGAACAGCAUACUUCCCUGCUUGAUUGUUCAAAUUUGGCAAAGUGCUAUAGAGUAGUCUUAUUAGUCACUUCACUUCAAGAUACAGAACUCUGAUGAAGUUUUUUGUUUGGUUUUGUUAGUCCCUUUGGUUCUAAUUAGUCACAAAGAAAGGUUAUUGUUGUUGCUGAUGUUGUAACUAACCAAGUUGUAGAUCUCCGGUAGUAAUCCUCCUUUAGCAACCUAAGACUUCCAGAGACUGUCAAUACAAUAUGAUUUGUGGUAAUUGUUAAUGUUAAGUUGUUAACACUCUGCUUAUCACUUUUUUAAUGGAUGUUUAAACUACUUUAUAGCUUGAAAUGGAAAUAUGAUUAUUUGUUGGUGUAGAUGAGCAAGUAUUCUGUUCAUUUUGUUUAACUAUCUCUAUUGAACUGAACUAACAGUGGGGAAGGGGAAACAGCAGAUCUGUUGCUUGGUAAAUUCAAGUGGGGUCAUGCUUUUCUUUCCGUUAAUAGGUAUGUUUUAUUAUUUAACUCUUAAAUUUUUAGUUUUAAAAACAAACACGAUAUAAUAUGCUGGUUCAUCCAUAAUAAUUGCAACCUACUUGCAUCAAAUGAAGAUUAAAAGGCUUGUUUAGAAAUGAUUAAGGGCUUAAAAACACUUACUUUGCACUUCAAAACACUUCACUUAAAAAGUCAUUCCAAAGCAGUACUGCUUAUCAUAUUCUAACUGGACCUGCCUAUUAGCUCGCAAUUACCUGAGAUAUUUGAUACUAAAUUACAAAUUUAGCCAUUUAGCCUUCAAGUAUAUAGAGGAAUUCUAGGCUUAUAAAUGGCGCUAUUAUUUGAGCCUUUUCCAUGAUCAUGCUUGCUUAUUUUUCUUUUGUAUUACACAGAGAACUUCUAAAACAAUACUCAGCAUGUGAGAAUAGUGCGGAUAUUAUUUCGGUCCAGAAUGCUUGGUUAUCACAACAACGACAAGUCCCCAAAGAACCGCAUAAUGUCGAAGGUAAUCUUUUGAAUCAAUUACAUCGAUCUGUUUUUUGUUUUGCACCUUAAUUUGAAGAAAAUGGAGUUGCAUCAUACUCUCUAUAUGCGUGGAGAAAACGUUGCUGAAGUAUUUUUAGUUUAUAUCUAGUAGUUAUUAGGAACAGGUAGAUUUUCGAAUUCACAUCCAACUGUUUUUUAAGAAUCACACAAUGUGAUUGUCAUGUUGAAGAAAUUUUUGGUGUCCAUAGUUAUAAACAUUAACCAUACUGACAAGAGCAAGCAACCAAGCCGAUCAAAAUCAAACCAAAUUGACUCUAAUCAACAUUAUCGAACCAAAAUAAACAGAUAGACUGUUUUUGGGAGUAUACAUUUAUGAAAACCAAACCAAUUUGGGCUAAAUCAAUGAAGUAGAGGCCCUUUUGAUUUGGGACUAGAGUUGUUUUCGUAUGGAAGGACUUGUGAGGGUUUCACUGAAACGAGACUGAACAUAUGUUGUAGGUGCAGAUAAGUCAUCCGUGAGCGAACAUGAUGAAGGUUCCGAUGAUUCGGAAGAUGGACUUCCGCCAUUGGAGAAGAAUCUAAAUCACUUGACCUUGCAGCAAGAAAGCGACGAAGAAAGCGAGUAAAAUUCAUACCAUAUACCAUAGAGGCAAAAGUUUAAUGUAGAGACCAUAACAGUUCCCUGUAGUAAAGGAUUCUUCUAUUUUGCUUUGCUUUUUAACUUAAUAGAGAAAUAAGUCGAUGGUGUUUUGUAAUUUUGAUAUUAACAUUUGAUUUUUCUUUUUCAUGGGCUCCUUGUGGGUAUGUGUUUGUAGGUUUAAGUUUAUCAUCUUUUUGCCAACACCCACAUUAUCAGUUUUACAAAAAAUAAAAACCAAAGUAUAGAAAAAUAUUUUUUUAAAAUAUAGAAAUAUUAUGUCAAAUUUAGUGAUAAAAGAUUUUUGUCUUCUGUAAAUAUUUUGUAUUUUUUUUUUAAACUCCUUUUUUUUUUCUUAAUAUUGCAGAAUCCGAAACUUAUACAUUAAUUUGGUCUAAUUAUUCGUUUCUUGAAGAGGUGAAGUUGCUUUUUAAAAAAUCUAAUUCGUUUUCUUUUUAUUAAUUUUGAACUUCUUUAAAAUUAAAAUGUUGUCUUAAUAACUUUUGAAAUUUAAAUAUAUUUGUAAUAAAUUUUUACAUUUGCAAUUUAAAAAAAAAAAAAAAAAAAAAAAAAAACCUCCAAUGUCCACCCAUUAUAAUUUAUUGUUUUUUUCUCUCCAUUUUCUAAUUCAUAUUCAGUACAUAACUAUUAUUCAAAAUUCAAGCCUCACUAUAUUCAAGUCAUACUUAAAUUUAGCAUUUUGAUAUCCAAAACAUAUGAUCAUGAGCAGCUAAUUAAGACAUUUACAUAUGAUUGGUAAUACUUUCAUAAUAAGUAUGCUAAAGAAAUGAAGUGUUUUUUGUUUCUUCUUUAUCAUUUUGUAUAAGAAUCAACGUGAAAGUGAAGACGGUAGAUCUCCUUACAUGUUUAUGUGAUACUUUCAAGCUAAAUUUAUUUGAUAUUAUGUUUUAUGGAAAUUAUUGUCCUUUCGAGAUUUGGUUGGUUUCCAAAUUUCUCUUGCAUUGGAAGCAAGGUUGUAACUACAAUUUUUAUGUACUUAAUUUUGCCAACAAUAAUAAUUAUCAAUACCCAGUUUUAUCAAAAAGUAGUUUGAUUAAAAUCUCAAUCUACCCUACUUGAUUUAAUUGCUAUACUCCUAAGGUGGACAUUUAGCAUCUUAAAAGUUAACCUAUGUCAUGCAAAGUAUUAUAACAAACUAUCAAAAUAAAUAAGGUGCUAGAAUGAACUUAACUUAGCGGUAAUUGACACAGUCUUAUGUUAUAAAGAUAAAGAGGUUUAAUUCACCAUCAUCCUACAAUUGUUGUAUAGCGAAAAGUAAUUGAGCAUGUAUUGUUUGAACAUACCAUGACCAUUGAAUGACGAUAGCAAAAGAGGUUGCUGAUAAAAGUUCUUAAUGCUUUGUUUAAUUAUUCAGUUUUGAUAGAUUAGCAAAUUAGUAAUCAAGCAAAAGAAAGAUUGACCUUGGAGAGGGGGUAAAACAAGUUGAGUUUAGUAUUUCCAUUGAUGAUGUUUAUCCUAUAAACAUGUAUAUUUGUUGAAAAUUUUCAUACUUGAUCACUUUCAACAUGUUUAUCUUAUUUUCAUUCAAACCAACCUUGUAAAAUAAAAUUACACUAUCUCUAAUUAGCUAAAAGAUAUUCAUACCCAUUAUCCUUACAACCACAACCAUAUAUAUACAUAUAUUUGCAUGUAUAUACAUGUGUAUAGAUACACGUAUACAUACAUACACAUAUUUAAUUACAACUUUUACCAAUUACCUGUCUCUAAAUUCUUAUUAUGAUCCUUUUUCAUGUGUUUCUAUGAUUCAUAUAUUUUAACACCGAAAGUGUUUUGAAUUGUACGAAUGUAUGGUGUAAUAUUUAAAUUGAAUCGAAUGGUUGACUGACUUUGUUGAGAAAUUAUGAGAUGAUACUUUGGAACAUUGAAUAUUACAUUUUAUAAGAAAAUUUUACAGCAUUUUAUUUAAAUACAAAUGUAUUAGAACCGCCUAUUUAACAUUAAAAAAAUUAUAAAAUUUUUACAAGGUCGAGAAUUUUGUUAAAAAAUGGAUAAUUGAAGAAGGAAAAAGCUAACAGAGAAUAUUUUCCAUAAAGAACCUAAAUAACGAGUAAAUUUACAAAUCUCUACUUCUCACAAUAUUCUUAUGCGAGUAGUACUUUUGAAAAUACUGUAAAUUUAAAAUUAUAAGGAUAUUUUUUAGAGAAAAGAGAAUUCGGAUAAUAUUUGUUGUAAAAUUUAGGGGUCUUUUAAAAAUAUAACAAAAGGAAAGAAUAUUUACACGUACAAAACAAUUUUGAAAACGGAAAAUAUAAAAAAUGCCUAUAUCAAUAUGCGAUUAAUCGGUCACGUACGUGCAUGUAGAGAUUUUUCUUCCAAACGAUCAUGAUACACGAAUUACACCAGCUACACACGAGCGUGUAAUUCUUCUUUUAAACGAUCCUGAUACACAAUCGUUAACAAUUGCGUAGUUUAUGAUGCACGAUUAUUAGUUCGUGAUAAACAAUGGUUUUGGAAAGAAAAAAAACCCAGUAAAUUAUAGUGUAGAUGAUGAUACAUGGUCGUGUGUAGUUUACGAUACACGACAUGAAGUUCAUGAUACAUUAUGAUUUUGAAAAGCCCUAGUAAUGAUUGUGUAGUUCAUGAUACACGAUCAUGUAGUUCAUGAUAAAUGUUGACUUUGAAAAGUCUUAUGAUAAAUGAUCAUGUAGUUCAUCUCUGUUCACAAUAAAUUGUAAUAUUAUGAUAAAUGAUCAUGUAGUUUAUCAAUGUUAAUGGAAGUUGAAUAUUUUUAUUAUAUUUAUGAAAAUUAAUUUUACGUUGAAAUAUUAAAAGAAAAAGAAAAAGAGAAGAAAAUAAUGAAAGGGUAUUUUGGAGAUUUUAGAAACGAAAUAUUGGAUUUUAAUCGGACAGACUCUUCCCAUCGUUUCACUACCAAACUCACAUCGGCGAAGCAAAAAACCCUAGAAAGCCCCCCACAAUCUCUUCGCUCUGUUUCUUCUUCCUUCUACGCCAUUGAUUUCCAUUCAUAAAAUUUGUGUUAAACGAAAAAAACAAAGAAAGAAAAAGAAGAAAAAAAACACAACACAUUUUCUUUUAUCUCUUCCAAAUUCCAUUUUCUUCUUCUGUUUCUUCUCUCUUCUUCCUUUGUUUUCAGGUUACAGCGAACGAGUUGAGCCACUGAUUUCGGGGGCCCAUUUUUGUUCUUUUUUAAUUAACUUUUUUCUUUGGAAGUUGUAAUAUUUAAGAGUUUUUCUGUUGUGGGUUUUCUUGAAUGGUUGCUGUAAUUUUUCCCUUUUAAUCUCUAAUGGUGGGUUUUGUUUUAUGGAAUUAGGGUUACAAUUUUCCUUUCAUUUCCUCAUCUAAGGGUUUCUUCGCCUCUGUUUUUCUUUUCCUCUUCGCAAAGUCAAGCCAAAUACUUUCGUGAGUCAUUUUCACAUUAUCUUUUUUUUUUUUUUCUUUCUUUCUUUCUUUAAUUUUUAUGAUGUUUUCCGAUGGCUCUUAAUCAUCCCUCUCUUUUUUUUCCUUGCAGGUUUGAAAUUUGAGUUUUGAAUUUAGCGGGAUGUCUUCCAAAUCGAAAUAUUCAAUUCUCGACAAUCGACCGAUUGAUCAGUGGAAGGUUACGGAGUUGAAAGAGGAACUUAAGAGAAGGAAAUUGACCAUCAAGGGGUUGAAGGAAGAUUUGGUUAAACGGUUAGAUGAAGCAGUUCGAAUGGAAAGGGAAGAAAAUGCUGAGGAAACCAAUGGUGUUGAUGGUGACCCUCCAGUUACAAAUAGUGACAAUAACCAAGAGCAUGCAUCUAUUGUUUCUGGAACGGCGAAAGAAACUAAUGAAGAUACUAACAUCACAGAUAAUGUAGAUGAUGUUGGAGUUCAGGUUGAAAAGGAUGAUAGUAAUGCAGCUGUGAAGGAAGGUGGAAUUCAAGAUGGGGCUGGUCUUAAUGGUUCCCCCAGGGUAGAAGAGGGAUCGUCCGUCCGUGUUUCUACUGUGGAAACUAAAACUACUGUAACUGAAACCGUAGUAUCUGAAGUAGCAAUAGGUGUGGGUGUGGAAGGUUUGCAGAACACUGAAAGCAAGGAUAACGAGGAUAGGCUCGAGCUGGAUAGUGAGGAUUCAAAGCCCCAGCUGGAUAGUGAGGAAUCAAAGCCCCACAUGGUUAGUGAGGAGUCAAAGCCUCAACUGGUUAGUGAGGGUUCAAAGCCACAGCUUGAUAGUGAGGAUUCAAAGCCCCUGCUUGAUGAUGUGAAUAUGGAGCUCCAGGUGGAGAAUGAGUAUUUGAAGUCUCAACAGGCAGAUCUCGUGCACGACUCUUCUGCUCCAGACGACCAGGUAUCUGAGGUCAGCCCUGUUUUAGGGUCUCAAGUAAGAACUGAUUCUAUUUCUACUGCUUCUGUGACAAUUAAUGAAAUGAUUGAACUAAAGGAAAAUAUGUCUGCUGAUCAUGUAAAAUUAGAACUAGAUGUUAAGCAGGAGAUGGUGGAACCAUCAUCCAGCAUUAUUGUCCCAGAUGCUGGCGAAUCACAUCCUAUGGAUGUUGAAGAGCCACAUGUGAACAAGAAUGUUCAAGAGUCACUUGCAAACAGAGAUGUUCUGGAGUCACCUGAGAACAAAGAUGUUAUGGACUCUAUUGUGAAAGAAGAUGUUGAGAAGAAAGAAGAUGUUAAGGACAUAAUUUCUGAGCUUCAUGAGAAGCAUGAUGGUGUAGAUGUGGGGUUCUCUGAAAAGCUUAAUUUAGAUAGAAGUUCUGGGGAUGAUUCAAUAGAAGAUACAACAGAGAAUAAGACUGAUUCAGUGAAUAAUCUUGAAGAAAUGGGAGAGAAGAAUGUAAAAAAUGAGGGCCUUAUGUCCCAAGAGGAAAAGGUUGUUGACAUAGCAAUGCGAGGCUCAACUGGAGACAGAAAGAGUAUUGGUAUAGAGAAUGACGUUACAUCUUUGCCUGCUGAAAAAAGAAGGCUUCAUGGUAAUGCUUACUUCUAGACCCUCUCUUCUUCCCCAAGCCUGAUCCGAGCUACCAAAAUGAAAGGAAAUAAAUGAAAACUGUGUUAUAUUUCUCAGCCUAAUUAAAUAUUUCUGCAUAUAACAUAAAAAAUUUUAACUGAAAGAAAAUAAAUGCCAAACUGUUUACAAAAAUAUCAAAAGAAAAAAAAUCAUUGAUAGACACGGAUAGGUUUCUAUUACAUAUAUAUCAAUAAUAAACUUUUAUCAAUUUCUAUCAAUAAUAAUAUUGAUGUUAGACUUCUAUUAGUGUCUAUUAGCGAUAGACAUGUAUCAGUUUGUAUAAUUGAUAGACAUUGAUGGGCCACCAUCCAACUUCUAUCUGGGCUGUAAGGAAUGGAAAUUUUUUUGCCAUAACUUCUAAUUAGUUUGGCCCAUUUUUCUAUAUUUUAAAAGCCUUCUAUAACAUAAAUGAUUUUCUGUUUUGAAAUUUUCAAUAUGGUUUUUCUGUCAGUACUGAAAUUUUGACCUGAUAAUUUUAUGGUUGGGAAUUUUGAUUUAAAGUUUUUCUUGUUAUGUAAUAUUUUCAACUUAUGUAUAUGCAAUGUAAUGGAUGUCACUUUAGUUAGGGAUAAUGAAUUUUUGUCAUACAUACCUUUUCUUGUUUUCCUACGAAUAAUAUUAUAUCAAUUGUUGGAAUUGGUUUUCUUCUUCCUUUUGUUAGUUGUAUGUUGGAUAAGGGUUGUCAUUAUUUUGAUUCACCGGAAUAUAUAUGUGGAGUUUUAGAGUACACCCCACUACCAUAAAAAGAGUUGUAAGAAGAGUAUCUGUUGCUUGAGUCUCUUGAAUUGCAGCUCAGAAUAUUGCUAGCUUUCUUUCAAUGGAUGAUUUUGUUUUUUAGUAUUUGGUAGUAAAGUUGAUAUUUAGUUUCUGCAGUAUCUGCAUUGGCUUUUCUGGAAGAAAUAGGUAGCUAAAUGAUGCUUGACGACUGGAUUUUGUUGUUGCCUCCCAGUGCUUAGUAAUUGGCUAAGUGCUUUGGUGCAGUGUCAGUACUGUGUUGUGUUGUUGCGCUUUCUGUGAGUAGUGAUGAGUCAAGUGUACAAAACAUUGUUCUAGUUUUAAACAAAAGUUGCUGUUUGGAUAAAUUGUGUUGCUAUGCUUUUUCAUAUUUUUGCUCGAUGUUUUUCAUUUUCUUUUUUCUUGUUCUUUUUUGAAUUAGUUGUACCUCUUACAUUCAUGAUGGGUGUCUUCUGGUAAGGUUUCUUUAGAUGUAAGAUGACCUUCAAAUAUAAUGGAUGGUUCAUGGUUCUGUGAAAUCUUGUUUUCAGUUGAACUAAUAUUCUCUCUGGCCAUCUGGGGUUUACUUUCAUUUCCAGCUAAAUGGACAGGUUCUAUCUCCAUAUCUGUCCAUCUACAUGUAUCUCUUUCUUAGUGCCUUUUUCUGGCCAUACCAUGAAGUAUCAGUCCAGACAGUUUCUGGGAUGGAUUGUCCCCAUUUCUGCAAAACCCCAUGCUCUAUUCUCUCCUUGUUAAAUGCUACCUUAACAUUUUAUUAUACUCUCUCUUCUUCAAACUCCAAGUUCUGUGCUGAAUUAUUGUGGACGAUUCAGUCACUAGCACUUCUAAUUAGUAUCGAGUGCAUUCUUUUGUUUUGAUGGACUUUAUUGGGAGAUUGUUCUUGUCAUAAGUAAAAUCAUAGGAAAGUGGAACGUUGAGAUCAUAUAGCCAAUUUGUAGGUGUUUUCUCUUUUGUUUUCCCCCAUGUUUUCUUGUCUUGGGCUUUCAUUUUUGUAUAUUUCGCUUGAUAGAAGUCUUCUUUUCUUGAAAAGAAAUGUAAUUUACGAAGGAGCUAAAGUAAAGGGUUGACAUUCAUUUGCACCUUUAGGAAGUAAGUGUUAAUAGAAGGAUAAAAGGUAAUCCCUAGGCAAGUAUAGAGAGGGAGCAAGGAAAUGAUUGAAGUUCACGGAUUCAUAUAUCAGAUUCAUCAAGUUACUUCUUUUUUGAAUUUGUAUUUCAUGUGAGGCGACUGGUUGAGAUGAGUUAAACCUUUAGACGUACGUUUUCUGGUAUUUAAGUCUGGCUGUAUUACGUUGAGUACCUCCCAUAUUUUCCAUGUUAACAGUAAAAUUGGGUCCUGUCCUGCUUCCUUCUGCUAUGAAUGUAAGAGAAUUCACCUUAAUCUGGCCGUCUUAUUGCAAAUAGUUACCUCUCUCUCUAUAGUAAUUUCGUCUUUUCUUUAAGUGGAGUUUAAAAGGGAAUGUGGUUUUAUAAUUUGGAUGGCGUGCUGUGAUGGGGGUAUGUGACAGGUCUUAUUGAUUAUUGAUUCAAUUGAAGAACAGUUUACUGCAUUGGAUUUCCUUCAAAUUUAAAAUCAAUUGUCUUUGUUUUGUUUUGUCUGAUGAGGUUAUUUUUGCAGAUCAAGCAGUGGUUGGAAAUGAGUCCGUGAAGAGACAGCGUAGGUGGAAUUCUGAGAACCUCAAAAUUCCAGAGCCCCAAAAUGCUGCUCAUCAUACAUCGACUAGUAAUUCAAAGGACAUUCAUCAAUCCACUGCUCCAAAACGCAACUUCUCCAGAUCUGACUCCACAGCUAGUGAAGAUCCAUCAAAGGAACGUGUUGGUGAGUUAAAUUUGAGGAGCUGACUAUACUAUAAGCUCUUGGCCAUAUCUGAUUAAAUUUGAUGAGCUGACUAUAUUUUAAGCUCUUGGCCACAUCUGAUUCACUCGUCUCUCUUUUGCCUUUUGCAGUUCCACCAUCACCAAAACCUCCCACAAACUCACUAAGAAUUGAUCGUUUUCUGCGUCCAUUUACCCUCAAAGCUGUGCAAGAACUUCUGGGUAAGACUGGCAAUGUUACCAGUUUCUGGAUGGAUCACAUCAAGACGCAUUGCUAUGUAACUGUAAGACUCUUGGACAUAACAUUGAGUUUUCUAAUUAUUUUCUGCUUCAAGUGGUGCACAAUGUGGAAUUUGAUUCUUGGACAUAACAUUGAGUUUUCUAAUUAUUGCUUGGAAACUAAUGUCACCAAUGCAGUACUCGUCGGUGGAAGAAGCCCUGAAGACUAGAGAUGCUGUUUACAACCUUCAAUGGCCACCAAAUGGUGGGCGUCUUCUUAUAGCUGAGUUUGUUGAUCCUCAAGAAGUAAAAACUCGAGUAGAAGCUCCACAGACUCCUACACCUGCGGUGGUUGCUCCACCAGUCUCUAACGUGCCCCCACCCGUGCAACCCGAGCCUUCGCCUCGUCAACCAAGGCAGCAACAUGCUCCGCCGCCUUCUCUUCCACCACCCCGCCCACACCCACACCCACACCCACACCCACACCCACAAACAACGUUGCUCAAGCAAGGGAGCAGCUACCACUCCCACCUCCACCUGCACUUCCCGAUAAAGUCGACACUCCUAUUGUCACCUUAGACGACCUUUUCAGGAAAACCAAGGCUACUCCUCGCAUUUACUAUUUACCUUUAUCAGACGAACAGGUGCAGAUAAAACAUACAGCAUCAGCAAGGGGAAAAGACAUUAAGCAGUAAGUUGAGACAAUGCCCGUGAUGAUUAAGUGUUGUGUCGUGCCUGCUGCUUGAUGUGCCCCUUGUGGAUUCCUUAGCGAGUUUAGAUUUUGGAAAAUUAAAAAGGCAUGGAGUGGCAUGUUCGAAUGUCUUGAGUGCUUGCAGGGAGGAAUUUAUCUCUGCUGAGCUGAAAAUGAUGGACGGGUUUUGGAAUAGAAUCCAAUGGGUAGGUUUUUUCUUGCAUAUUAAUUAGGAUAUUGAGAUUGACUUCUAAAAGAAGAGGAUUACUUUGUAUUUUGGUUAUGUAAUCAUGUUUUCCUGUGGGUACAAAAAAACCUAUAAUGAGUUAGCUUUGUAGUAUGAUUCAUAUGAUGCCUUCUUCAAAUUUCAUGACACUAACUACUUCGGAUCUGAUUAACCACCGUGCUUUUGACUUUGUUAUAGAUGGACACAUUUCUUCUUGCUUAUUAUUUUCUUUACCUCUAAAAGCUAUGUAUGUAUAUAUGUAUUAUAUAAUAUAAUAUAAGUCUCUUAAUAUGGUACAGUUCAUUUUCGAAUUCAGGAUAUGAAAUAAUGGGUUCAACUUGUACUGAACUGAUUUUUCCCCCUAUUUUGAACUGUAUGUGAGGUGGAGAAAUUGAGAGUUUAUAGGAGUUGGAGUAUGUCCGUUUUGUCUACCGUUGAAAUUAUGAUGCAUCUAAUUGAAAUGGUAGUACUUAAAAAGUGAAGCAAAAUGGUGCGCCUUAUAUGUUCUUUGUAAAAUAAAAGAGUGUACUUUAACUUUAUAGUAUAUUUUAAUUUUGAUUUUUGAACUUUUGAAUUUGUUUAGUUUUGGUAUCCAACAUUUAUAAGCUAUUUCAACUUUCAAGCAAUGUGGGGUGUACUCAAAAAGAAUUUACCCAUGGUUACGAAUAAGUAACCAAUGGGUACUUCAAACUUUUGAUUUAAUCGAAUAAAUGUUUGCAAUCUUAAAUUUAAACUUAAAAAAUGUUGCAAGUUUUAGAUGGGACAGUUUUCAUUUGAAAGGUUGUAAAUUCUUUUUGUAUACAUGCAAUCUAUGACUUAAAAAGUAAAAUCUAAAAUUUUCUGGUCAAGAAGUUAAGUAUUAGUCAAAAAUUAAAUCUAUGGAAAAAUUGAUGAUGCUGUAAUUAGUGAGAGCUCAUAUAUAUUUUUGUAUUGUUUUAUUUUUUUAAAAAAAAUUAGUGAGGAAAUUUCCAAGAAUUUAAUAAAAAAUAGAAACUACACCAUUUAACUAUGUUGAGUGGUUUCACAUCGAAAAUUGUAUCUAUUUAAUUACAUACAAAAUUUGUCAAUGUAAGUUAAAAAACAGAAAAAAGAAAAGAAAAAAAAGGAAAAGGGAAUGGAAAAACUUUAGGGAAGCGGUAUGAAGGGAGUUUACAAGAAUCGGAGAAGCGUUUAUUUCCUUUUUUUCAUUUGUUUGCGCCAAAACGUUCCCCAAAAUUUCUUCCAAUUUUCUAAAACCAUCCCCUUUUUCUUUUCUCUUUUCUCUUCUUCUUCUUCCUCCUCUGCAACUCUGUUUCCUUCAAUUUCACCUGAUUCCUUCUCCGAUUCCGUUUCUUCUUCCCUUUCAACAGAUACCCAAAUACCCAAUUUUCCAUUUCAUUCCAACUCUUGUUUUCCUUUUCCUUUUUUCUUGCAUUUUUCCCCAACCCUCUACUUUCAUCACCUUUUGAUUUCUUCCCGCUUCCUCUUUUCUUGGUUCAAUCCCUUUUUUCUUCCUUCGAUUCUUGGUUUUCUUUUCCAUCUUAAGCUGCCUAUGCUUGAUUCCACCUUUCAGAUCUUUCUCCUUUUGCUUGUUGCGCUUCUAGGGAUUUCUACUGUUCGUUUUGUUAUCGGGUUCUCGCUCUAGUUUGCUGCUGUACUGGAAUGAAUAGUGUGUUCAGUGAGCAAAUACUUGCUGAUAAGCUGUCGAAGCUCAAUAGCACGCAGCAGUGUAUUGAAAGUAUCCUUUUUUAUUUCGUUUUUGUUACCCCAUUUGGGGUUCUUGCCUUUUUUCUUCUUGUUUUUAGUUAGGUAGUGUUCGAAAGCUUCCAAUUGAUGAUUUUUUUUCUUAGUUCGUUUUUGUUUGAGCCUGCCCAUUUUAUCUUCUGUUGUUUCAACUCUCUAGAGCCUAGAGGUUGAUUGAUUACUUUAUACCCUUCAAAGCUUGGAUUGGGAUUUUAUAGAAUUUGGGUAUUACACUUCAAUUGUUGCUUUUUUCUUAAUGGUUUUUGUAAUUAAUCUCUUUGGUAUUGUUGCUUAUUAGAGAGUGUUUGUUAAUUCUGUUACCUUUAGUUGCUUGUGUCAUCAUGUUGAAUUUGUUACAAGAGAUGUUUCUGUCAUUCUUAACUCUUUUCCUAUAGCUUUGUCACAUUGGUGUAUAUUUCAUAGAGGCAAGGCUGAAUUGGUUGUUGCAACAUGGGAUAAGCAGUUCCACAAUUCUGAAAUGGUUCAGAAAGUUCCUCUUUUGUAUCUUGCUAAUGAUAUCUUACAAAAUAGUAAGCGUAAGGGAAAUGAAUUUGUUACUGAGUUCUGGAAGGUUCUUCCAUCAGCACUUAAGGAUGUCCUUGAGAAUGGUGACAGCCAUGGAAAGAAUGUAAUUUCUAGAUUGGUAAGUUUGAGUUAUUUGCUUUUCCUCUUCUCGGACGAGUGGUCUAACUCUCUUGCACGUUUUAAGAUUUUCCAACUAAAUGUGUUGGUGAAUACUGAUAAAAAUUGAAGAUGCAAUUAAUGGAAUUUAUCAGGGCAGCUACUCCCUUUUAUUGAGUAUUGGAGAUUGUUGUCAUGUACUUGUGUCUACUUUAAAUGAACAAAUUGCGGAUUCGUUGAGCAUGAAAAUUUUUCAGAAAGUACUUCUAGGAUCUUAUUUUAAGGCCUUUAUUUUGCCUUUUUUUCCUUCCUUUGAACUUGUUAAUCAAAUUUUUCUUGCACCUUCUUAGGUGGAUAUAUGGGAACAAAGGAAGGUAUUUGGAUCCCGGACUCGAAGCCUCAAAGAUGUAAUACUUGGGGAAGAGGCACCUCCACCUCUAGAGUUUAGCAAAAAACGUACUCGAUCAGUCAGAAUUGUCAAAAGAGAUUCACGGUCAAUUAGAACGGUGAGCGACUAUUUUAUCUUAAGCUUUUUUUCCAAUUUUCUUUUGGUGGCACCAGAAGUUAUGCAAGACCCUGUCUUGAUUUUCCAUGACUGUUUCCAUUUAGUUUUCUUAUUAUCAAUAUUAUAUAUAUUUGUUUUACUUCCAAUGAUUUCGUUGUUGAGUUGACAUUAUUCCUUAAUUUGGUACGCAGAAAUUGUCUAUUGGAAGUGCAGCUGAAAAAAUAGUAUCAGCAUUCCACUUGGUCCUUAGUGAAUAUUCUAAUGAAGAAACUGAGAUGACCAACUGUAAUUCUGCGGUUCAACGUGUAAGGAAGAUGGAAAAUGACGUUGAUUUUGCUUGUUCCAUGGGUAUGACAACAAUUAUUUAAUGUUGUCUACAUUGUCUCAAUGUUCUCUCAUUAUGCAUCUAAUUUGUUUUGAAAGAUUUGUACUCUUAGUUGAAAUUUUUUAUUAUGCCAUCUUUCAAUUGUCAAAUUAUACAGUCUCUGAGUUUCUAUGAUUAUCCACCAGCAAAAAAUCCUCAGCGUAAAAAGUUAGCCAAAGAACUGGAAGAGGAAGAAAGUGUUUUGAAAACAGUGUAUUGAGAAAUUGCAAUCGGUUGAAGCCAGUCGCCUGGCACUUAUCACUCAGUUAAAAGAAGCUUUGCAUGUUCAGGUAUCUUGAUCAAUCCUUUCUCAAUUUCCUUAGAAGUUUGAACAAUUUUGAUUUCUGUAUUACAUUAUGUUAUUAUGAAGUACUUACAAUUGACAAAUUUGGGAAACUGACUAUUAACUGUAGGAAUCGGAGCUGGAGAAUAUUCGAACCCAGAUGCAGGUAUUUUCUUGAGUGAAAUAGACUUGUUUUGCUUGUGCUUGUAUUUGACAUUUAUUUGAACUUCAACAUGAGUAUUUUUAGUUUUAUAAUAUGAAAGUGAGGGACUGGCUUGUUAUAUGGAGGAAAAAUGAAGCUUUACCGUGGACACCUAUAAUUUAAUUCAUGUGAAUUUGAUGGGUGCUGAUGAUUGAGUUUUUUUGUUGCCAUUACUCAUUUUGUUUUGAACUUCAAAAACUACAGGUGGCUCAGGCUCAAGCAGAAGAGGCUAAAAAUAUGCAAAACCGGCUAAAUGAUGAAGGUUAUGUAUCGAAAACUUCCAUCAUUGAUUCAAAUGCAAAAGCAGGACAGACUCCUAAGAAGUCGGCUGCAGCCAUUGCAGCAGAGGUUGCGGACAAGCUUGCAGCUUCUAGUUCCUCACAAAUGAUCAUGACAUCGGUUCUCUCCACAUUUGCGGCUGAGGAGGCAAAGCAUACUAAUCUAACAAAGACUAAUAAUGGAUUGAAUGCAUUUGCAUCAAAGCCCAUGCGUUCCUCUGCUAAUUCUAUCACAAAACCUGAAGCGUCAGCCGUUGGUUCAGAUCCUAAUGUUUUCAUGUCUAUGCAGCCCCUUGCUGCUCCCGCUAACCAUUCAUACCAAUCAGUUAUGGUGCCCCAACCAACAAUGCAGAGCCAAGCCUCGAAUUCACAGACUCAGUAUCAGAUGCUUCCAAGUGCACCUUCUCAGCAAUAUUUGCAGCUCUCAAAUGGAGUCUUAACCCCAUAUGGUUAUGGUAGUCUUCCAAGCUCAACUCCGGUACCACCACCACCAAUGCCCCACAUGGUUAGUCCAGUGGUGCCCUUGACCCAGCAGAUGCUGCAACAGACAAUACCCUUGGCUCAACAACCAUCACCUAUGAUUACAAACACAACCGGUCCCUUUCACGCAGCAACCUCUGGCACCUAGUUUUAGACCGCUUCAGCCGCCAGGGAUGGUGUAUUAUGGUCAUCCUCCCCCUUCUCAGUGAAUGUUUUGUGCUAAAGGUAUCUUCUCUUUUGGACCGAACCUAUUGAUUAGUGAUUGUCAUUAAAUUUUGUUCAUGUACCUUGGGAUAAUGGAAUUUGAUUUGAAGACAGAUAGUGGUAAUGGGCUUCUACAAUUGGGCUUAAUUUAUAAAGUAUCGAACCAAGCUUUUUGGUUCUGAAACAUUAGGGACCUUCAUAAUCAUUAUUUACUUCAAGGGGCAGACCAUUAGAACAUUUGUGACAUUAGACAUAUUAAAAGUCUUUUAUGUUUCAGUUUGAUUUGAGGAAGUUUUGUGUAGAUUUAUUAUUCCAAGCAUUGACUUAUUGUACAUUACUUCAUCCUUUGGAUGUCAGGUCAAGUUUUAGACAGUGCCACGCUCGUCGUGUAACGUUGAUCUCUAAACGAAUGAGCCUGUGAACGAAGCAAGAGCUAAAUCAUAUCGAGCUGUGGUGGUAAGGACUUGUGAUUUUUAGUGCAUAUUUUGAGAUAAUUAAAUUUAUAUCAUUGUCUUUCUCCCUCUGCCCUACUUUGUGGGGAGGAUACAUAAAAUAUGGAAAUGUAACUGGUAUAUAUAGGGCUCUACACUUUUGGGAGAGAUCACUCAGCCCUAUGAUUUCUUAAAUAUAGGUUCCAUAUGGUUCAAUUCAAUUUUAUGAGUUCAAAGUGACGACGACCAUUGUACCCAUAAAAGAAAGAGCAGAUGACAGACAGAUGGACGACGAGAAGGUAUCCCGCACAAAUGUCUAUGUUCUUCAUUGUUGAAGCUGUGAAAGUGCUAGCAAAUGGCUAUAGUGGGGGAAAUUACAUAAGAUAGUGGCUGGCUUCAUGGAAAUUUUAUAAGGAAGUUUCUUUAGAAAUCAAUAAGAUACGAAUAUGCUUAUUGGGACAGCUUGGGAAUGAAAAUUCAAAGGCACAAAACAGACUUUGCGAGCUUAGCUUCGUGAAGCUAUGGUGAAAACGGUGCCAAGCAGCUCGAAAACGAUAAAAGGACAAUGAAUUAACAUAGAACAUGGUUGAUUUUAACCUACAGUUAUCAAAGUAGUUUAACUAAUCACAAGUAAUAGCUUAAAGUUUUGCUAAAAAAAAAAAUUUCAAUGAUUAUAUUAAUUUUUAAAGGGAAAAAAUGGAUAAGUACUCAUUAAGUUUCCAUUUUUGAUAUUUUGUUCUUUUCUUGAUGAAAGAAAAUGUUCGCCUAUUUUUUUCUAUUUUUUUUAAUAAUUAAAAUACUGUCCUUAACUUUUGCUCUAAUUUUUUGUUAUGGUAAAUUUAAUAGAAUCUUUGUUUUAAAAAUGAAGAGAAUAUGUUUGGAUGGAAUUAUUUUUUAUCUAUGAAAGAUUUUGAUAGGGAUGGAUAGAUAUACAUACUUUCUAUUAUUGUCUAUUGGUGUAGAUAGAAUUUGAAAUAUUGCUGUAUUUACUAAUGAAUUAUAAAACAUAACUACAAUCAACUUACUUUUUUUGUAAUGAUUUUUGGUUUAUUUAUAUUCUAUUCUAUUUUAGUCAAUUCAAAAUUACUUUUUUAUCUCUAAAAAUCGCACUAAAAUACCUUGUGAGAUUAAUUUCACGAUUUAGUCACAACCAAUAAUAGAGGGAUUAAAGUGAUUAACUUUUUUUUCAAAGAAGGGACUAAAGUGAUUAAAAUUAUGAAAAGAAUGACAUAAUUUUAAAUUUAUUUUAGUUUCAUAAAUCACAACCAAACCAACCAAAGAUAAACCAAGGGGAUAAUGAAUACUCCUAAGGUUAAUAUGAUAAGUGUUGCAUUUUACAAAUAGGAACCAUGAAUGAACCACUACGUUAUAUUGAACAAAAACAUUAAUAAAACUUUGACAAAACUUUUAAUUUAUUUAACCUAGAGAGUUUGAGUAACGAAUUAGUUAUUCUCAAUUUUAUAAACUUACAUUACGUUUUGAUACAACUAAACAUCCAAUCAAAACCCGACUAUUUACUUAAUUUAAACCACUACCCAACAGACAAUACCUUUGUAUUGAUUGAGUAGAGAAGACAUCAAUUACUACUUUGAAUGUUUACUAUUUCUUUUUUCAUCCAUUCACCUCCGUAAUUAUUGGGAACAAAAAAUUUUACAAUUCUUUAUAUUUCACUCUUUGGUACGUGUAUUUGAGCAAAUAAAGUAAAUCAGUUAAAAGUACGAAGAAUUGAAAACUCUCCAUCCUCUAAAACUCUGUGCAAACACAAAGUGACAAGUGAUUUCAAAAGCCAAUAGUUGUUUAAAUACUAAUCCUUAAUAACUUUAAUAACCAUUAUAAGUAAGGAUUAAUUAUUUAAGUAUAUCUCUGUCACAUUAUAGUAAAAUAGACCCCCACUACUAUUAAUGUGCACACCUUUCAUAUUUUAUAUAGACUUAGAAAGCUAACAUUAUUGAUGAACAAUAAUUAAUUUCCGAUACAUCAAGGAGAUUAUAACUAAAUACUGUUUCUAGUUUUUUGCAUUUUUUUUCUUGUUGUUAUAUCAAAUACCUGGCUAAUUUCCACAUAAAAUUAAAGAAAAUACUUUUCUAUAAUUAUACAUUAUUCAUAUGAAUCAAAUAAUUUGAAUCAUACUCUCAACCUUCUUCACUUCCAUAAUCUUUCCCAACUCAAAGCAUUAGAGUGUAAGUGUGUGUGACGAAUAUUAUAUAAUGGUCGAUUUGUAAAUUUUUUCCUUCGUAGAUCACUUUUAAUUUCUCUCCAUCAAAUAAAUUCAUUGUGAGGGUUGAAUGAAAGUUAGGUACAUUUAAUUUCUUGUUCAAAGUUUAACAUCAGCUUUAUCGAACACACAUUAAUAAGAAAACGAUUGAAUGAACUCAAUCAUUUUUAAAGAAAAAAAUUAGAACCCUAGUGAUUGAGAUGUGUUAUUAUUUAAGAUGAAUUGUGGGGGUGGAGGGACCUCACACAACACAAUUCAAAAACAAAAAGGAGAGCCACGCUGGUAGCUUUUUCUGAUUUGGUGAGUGCAUGCCCUCAAAUUGUUCUAAAAUAAAAUUAUAUGAAUGAUAAUGAUAAUAUAUAAGAACAAUAGUGUACAUAUUAUUAUAGACAUAUAUAGCUUCUCAAUAUUGGUCUUGGUGGGUGUUGAAUAUUAAUAUAAAAUUAAAUAACAACAAUAAUGAUAAAGAGAAUAAUGGGUUAUGAAACUCAUCUGUCAACCACAAAUCUUUAAUUUGAGACAAGUUGUAGGGUUAUUAUGGAGCAAUGUGUCAAAUACAAAGGACUAUUAUUAAUUUUGAAAUAUGAAUAUCAUUUAACAAUUGAGCAAUUGGGGAAUUAUGUGUCACACUCUGUUGCUGCCGAAAGUUAGCUUUAUUUUUCAUUCAUAUAUUAAGACACAUUGGUGGGGUCUUCCUGCUAUGUUUUCUUCUCCUUAUAACAAGACAUAACAUAACACCAUUUUUCAAUUCCCACACUACAUUAAUCAAUCAUUUAUCAAUAUAUAAAAACAAUUGUCACAAAUAUAACAAUAACAUGUAUAAGAAUUUUUUGUUUUUUCUUUUGUUGAAAAUAUAACCAAAUUUAUGCUCAACAGCCAUAGUAAAAUUUAUCACUUAUAUAAAUAGUCUCUAUUUGGUAUAGUCUUUUAGAGACAAAUCUUGCUAUAUUUAUCAUUUUAAAAAAAUGUUUUAAUAUACUUAAUUGUUAGUCUUAGAAAUACUAUUCAUUACUCUAAUUGAUGAGUGAAAAUGUUCAUCUACUAGCUAGAUUUGAUUGGUUGAAAUAUACAUGGAAGGAAUAAUUUUGAAUCUAGAUUCAUUCGAGGAGAAUAUUAUAUGAAAAAUAUCUAUUCAAAUAGAAAAAUCAUCCUAAAGCAGAUUCCAAGGUAAGCAUUAGCACACAUGUGUUCUCCUUUUUAUGAAUGUCAUGUGUGACAAAAAGGGGUACAUUAACAACGUUAAAUUACCAACAAUAAUUAGUAUUAAUGGUGGUUAAAAGAUAGUGAGCCUUAGUCAUUUUAAAAAUAAAAGACUAAAUUGAUUCAAAUACGAACUAAAUUAGUAUAUAAAUUUAGAAUAAAUUAUAUAUAAAAUGAGUAAUGAAGUAGGAAAAUUUUAAUUAUGUUUUGUUAUAAAUACUGUGAUAAAUUGCUUAACUUAUCAAUAGAGAUUAAGAAGAUUGAUUAAAAUAAUAAUAAUCCACGUUAUAAAACCUAGGGCACCAAUAGUAAUGAUCCUCACCACAAACCCAAUAAAUUAAUCAAAUAUAUCACUAAUGCAAGAGUAGAUUUAUUGAUAAUAAUCCACUUUUUGAAAAUUAAUUUCAAAUUUCCUUGUUAUCUCAGUUUCGUUAAGGUUUUAAAAGUACUUUAAAAAUGUAGAAAAGAAAGGUGUGUAAGCAAAAGGCAAACCACAUUAGUUUUAAAGAAUAAUUAAAACCCAAGACUCCAUUUUAGUUGUUAUUUGAGUUUAUUUUUCUUUUUUUAAUUUGAGAAAAUUGUACUUUUCUUAAAUAAAAAAAUAACUUUCUUCCUGUUUCAUAAAAAAACAUUUAAAUUUAUCAAAUUCUAGAAGUAAAAAACAUGUGUUCUUAAAAUCCAACUUCUCUAAUUUGUUUUCUAAAUUUAGUUUCGAUUUAUGGGAAUUAUGCAGAUAACUCAAACUUAAAUUUAGUGCAGAUUCUUAAAAAUGGAUUGCAAGAAAAACAAAUUAUAUCACUACACAAAUUAAAUGAAAGAUGUUGAUGUGAAAACUUGAACAACAAAAUAUGUUUUCCCUAAUAACAAUAGUGAAGUGAAUUUGUUUGAAGGGGAGUAGAACAUAUUUUGCAAAGAGAAAAAUUCUAUAGACUAAUAUGAUACUUUGUGAUACACACUCCAAUGCUUAAAUUUAUAAAUAGUUUAAGGGCAGGAAUCAAGUUAUCCAAUAUAAAGUUAUAAUGAUAUAUUUAUAAAAGAGGUUGACCUAGGUUUUCUUCUAUUAUUCAUUUAAUUUUCAAAAUAUAUAUCAAAGGAAUCGCCGAUGAACUGAUGGUGAUAAAUACUUUUUGGUUGUCACAAAUUUGGGCUAGCCUUUACUAAUUGGUUGUUGGAUAAUAUGGACUUUUUUGGUCAAUCCUAGCGGUAGCUAUGACAACCAAAACGUCCUUAUUACCCGUUAGAUCAUCAUCGAUGAUGCUUGAGAGCACUACUAGGAUAGGCAAAAAAAAGUCCAUAUUACACAACAACCAAUUAGUAGAAGCCAACUCAGGCUGUGACAAAACCAAAAAGUCCUUAUUACCCAUCAGAUUAUCGAAGUAGCCUUAAAGCAGUUAUCUGAUAACAUGAUCGAAUCCUAGGUAAAAUACUUAAGUUCGGGGGUAUGUUGGACAUAUCAUCGUAUAUUAAAGUUAUCGGAUGGUGUUGUUGACGACUUAUUAGGAGGUGGAAGUUGAACUUUUCGACCCAACUCAAAGGAUCAUUGGACCAACUAAGCUAGGCUACUUAACCCUUGGAGCUUAGGUUGAUGUUCGUGGGAUAGUUAAGGUCAAAGGUCUAACUUUCCACUUCUGAGCCUUGUUGAUUACAUUUAUCCUUUUGACCUAGAAUCUAUACAUAGAAAAGUGAACCUCUCUAACUAUAUUAUCUCUAGUAUUACACUGAAACCAAUUGCUGUAAAUGUUGGCUUUUAAAUCAAAAUUUAAUUAAUUUCAGUCAAUAAAAAAAAAAAGAAGAAAUAAAGUAGAUCCAAAUUGGAUAUAAUUAAUUUGACUUUGUUCUAAAGAGUUAUAAAUUAAUUGGUUUUAGUGGGUGGCACUAUGGAUAGUAGUCCACUUUUAAAAGUCAACUAUGAAGAAAGUUUUUCCAAUCCAAAUAAACUUGCAAUUCCAUUAUUAUUAUUAUUGGAAGCCAUCAUUAAAACUUGAGAACAUUUCACAUGUUUGGCCUCUCUCAUAGACUUGCUAUCAAUAUAAAAAGAUAAUCCAAAAUAAUUUGUGAGCUCAUGUCUCUAUCAUACCUCCCUCUAAUGAGGAUGAUAUGAAUCUCCUUUCUUAUGAAAUCAAUAUUGAAAAUGAUAGGUCCAAACCCUCACAUAUCCUCUAUUCACAUGUUUUAGUUACAACUUACUUCAUCUUCAUUUUCAAAUGUUAAUGUAACAGGUUACAAAUUACAAAUGUAUAUAGUUAUUUUAUUUCUUCACAUCUCUACAUAAAAUAAUUAAUUGUUUUGAAUUUUUUCUUCACUUUGUUCAUUUUGAGAUGAAUAGAUAUAGUUGUGAGAUGUAUAUUGUCCAAAUACUUUUCUAUAGCUAUCAUGACGUCAAAGGAGAAAAUUACUAUAUAUAUAUGUAUAAUAAAAACUAAAGUGUUAUACUUUACCUUAUAAAGCAUUAAGACACAAUUACAUCCUUAAUUAAUUAACAGCAAAACAUUGGAAAAGUACAGACUAGAGAACAUGAAAAGAGUAGAUCAGACCAAAAGACACACUUAUACUAUUCUUCUUUCUUCUUCCUCUUCUUUUUCUUUUGGCCUUUGGACAGACAUUUUUAAACACAUUUACACAAACAAAAGCUUUUCGAUUUUAUAGACACUAAAAGAAGGAAAACAGGUCAUGAUCAAGAAGGGCCGGAAGCAUAAAGUCAAAUAUAUAACUUGAUCAUGUUCUAUUUUUGUAGCUGUCGACUGUGGUCGUCGGAGCAAUGCUUCCCGGGUGAACUUUUUUAUUCCUUGCAAGCAAAGAACCACCACUAGAGGAACCCGUGGCGGUGGCGGUCUCUCCUCGGGAGAAUCGAUUUGGUUCCAUUCUCUCAAGUUUCUCCUUUUGUUGCUUCUGUAGGAGGUGGAUUUUGGCAUAGGAAGCUCCAAGGGAUGACAUGAUUUUGAGAAUAUAGAGAAAGAAGGAGGCCUAUAAAGAAGAUCGAGGAAGAAGGAAGAAGGAAGAAGGAAGAAGGAAGAAGGAAGAAGAUAUUGGAAUUAUUAUUUUGGGUUUUUCUUGUUGUUGGAAGUUAGUUUUUGUUUUGGUGU
rnacentral:lncRNA from 1 species